rnacentral:rRNA from 1 species
UACGGAGGGUGCGAGCGUUGUCCGGAAUCAUUGGGCGUAAAGGGCGCGUAGGUGGUUCUGUAUGUCUACUGUGAAAGCGUACAGCUCAACUGUAUUUGUCGGUAGAAACUGCAGGACUUGAGGCUGGGAGGGGCUGGUGGAAUUCCCUGUGUAGCGGUGAAAUGCGUAGAGAUAGGGAGAACACUCGUGGCGAAGGCGGCCAGCUAGACCAGUUCUGACACUGAGGCGCGACAGCGUGGGGAGCAAACAGG